rnacentral:misc_RNA from 1 species
CGAUCAGUAUUAACGGUUUCGCCGGGUUUUAACAGCUCAUGAUAGAUCACACCCUUCUGAUCCCACCAAACACAGAGCAUCGUCUUCCGUCCAUAGCGAUUUGGUCUUGCAGUCGAUGUCGGUGGACUCUCAAAAUAUAUCCACUUUUCAUCGCCAGUCACAAUUCGGUGGAGAAAUGACUUUCUUUUGUAUCUGGCGAGCAGCAUUUCGCAAGUGGUUUUUCGGUUUUCCCGCUGUCUUUCAUUCGGUUCACGUGGAACCCAUUUUCCCACCUUCUGCAUCUUCCCAUGGCUUUCGAACGUACGGAGACGGCUUCUCGCGUCACGUUUAAUUGAUCAGCGAGUCGUUGUUGCGUUUGAGCGUCAUCCUCGUCCAGCGAUGCUUGCAAUUCGCUGUCUCGAAACUUUUUCGGUGGUCUUGCACGUUCUUCGUUCCUCGCGUCAAAAUU